rnacentral:sRNA from 2 species
GCACGGCCUCCGCCGAGUCCGCAGCGCCGCCGCGCGCCCGGAGCCGGGGACCCACCGAACCCGGGGUGAAUCGGCCGACUCCCGCGCACGGGAGCGCCGUAGGGCAAACCUUCCGAAGCACCUCGCCCGAACCCGACAGCUAACCCGGUAGGCGGAGUACGGGAAGGAGU